GGGUUGGGGAGACAGCACUCAAGUCAACACUCAAGCAAAUCAACCUGUUUACAUUUUGUAUUAUGGCUGAGUAUGUUGUUGCUAUGGGGAUGGAAGUAGGAGUGGUGGCAGUGUCCUUGAGGUCUGUUGUCCUACCUCCUCCUGCUCCGAACAAUGUGUGUGUGUGUGUGUGUGUGUGUGUGUGUGUGUGUGUGUGUGUGUGUGUGUGUGUGUGUGUGUGCGUGUGCGUGUGCGUGUGCGCGUGCGUGCGUGCGUGCGUGCGUGUGUGUGUGUGCGUGCGUGAACAUCACAUUAAUAUCUCUCUUUUCUCCACUUUUGACAUAUUUUUUUACUAUCUCUCUCUCUCUCUCUCUCUCUCUCUCUCUCUCUCUCUCUCUCUCUCUCUCUCUCUCUCUCUCUUGAUCUCCCUCUCCCCCCUCGGUUCUUCCCUCAGAUGGUAUGGAUUGAGACAGAGAGACAGUCAGGGAGUCCCUUGACUGGGCAUGCCACAGCAUCCAGGAUUCUGGCAGCUAGCGCUAACGACUGUGCUACUGCUACCUCUGCUGCUGUCUCUUACCGCUGCCGUCUCUGUCUCCCUGCUGCUGCUCCUGCUCUGAAAACCCAGCGCUGUACUUGCAAAUGGACAGUGAAGGGAGACAGGGAAGUGGGUUGAAGAAGACCGGAGAUGACAUACACCACAGGACCACCGGUGGGAAUCGAACUGGGUCGCUUCAAAGCAUGAUGCCUGCGUGACUAGCACACCAGUGAGAUAAGCCACUGACGUCCUGACGUCUGAAACUCUAACAUAAACCUGAUCGGCACACCAAGUCGGGUUGGAACAAUUCAACUGUACCGGGCGUCAGAGUCUUCUCUGCUGUCUAGUCUAGAUGGUUAAUUCAGAGGCCCGUUCAAGCAGUGUAUUGUUGUGUAUUGUUUCCCACGCUCUAUUCAUUAAAUGUCAGAAAUCCAUCUUGUGCUGGGAGGGACCCUCGAAACAAAAAUGAAUCAUUUUGAUUGUUAAGCUUGAUUUCCACGUGAAUGUCUAAUGAUGAAUAAUUUAUCAUCGAUUAAUCGUUAACAUCCACUCCGACACACACACACACACACGCACACACGCACACACACACACACGCACACACACACACACACACACACACACACACACACACACACACACACACACACACACACUCCCUCCCUUUGUAGGUCCAUCCUAUGGAAUGUCUUCAUCGUGUGUGUGUGUGUGUGUGUGUGUGUGUGUGCCCGCUUCUGUUUGGUCAGUGUCGGAUUACUGGAGGUUGGCCUGGUGGGGCUAGGGGGUCCAGGGGUCCAGGGGUCCCGUUCAGGAAUGGGACCCUGCCAGUGUGCGUGGCAGCGCUGACCCCAGCAGGUCAGCGUCCAUUACCGUGUGAAGCCCAACUGUCAGCCCCCCGGACCCCCUGCUGGCACCAUUUGUCUUCCUCUGGGGGUCAGCCUAUCUCUACUGGACAGACCCCCCCGCCGAACACACACACACACACACACACACACACACACACACACACACACACACACACACACACACACACACACACACAUAUAGACACACAGACGCACAUACACAUACACUUACACACACACACAGACAGACACACACAGACACACAGACCCAAAAACACUCAAACAGACACACACCCACACCAACAUAUAUAUAUAUACACACACACACACCUACAUAUACAUACACACACACACCUACAUAUACAGUGCAUACACACAAACAUACAUGCACACACCGCCACCUCACUUAUAAACAGAUACACACACACACACAGACGCACUCUCAUGCCGACACUGUUUACGUGAACGUACAACAGUAGGGACGAACACAUACGUGUCGCGGUUCCUCAGCACUCCAGGGGCUCUAUCUUCUCCGCUCUAUUUUUCCAUAUGCAUUCCAUUUCCUUUGUCUGCCGGGGAAGUGUUGUAAUGUUGACCGUGAACUGUUCACACCUCAUGAUCAUUUGAAAUGUGUCACUCUGAAAUCCUCCCCGUCCCCCCUAUCCCGUCCCCCCAAACAGCUUAUCUCUCCCCGUUACGCUCUCCACUGCCGUCGCCCUUGAUAGUAGCAUAGGAUAAAAGCCUUAAAUGGAAUAUUGUCACCAACGCGAUGAGAUAUGUCUUAUGCACACACGUGUGGGAGAUAGUCGCGCAAACGCACCUCGCAGCCCCACACCGUCAAGAUAGAGGUCUCGUAAUGGUGGUGUUUCAUUUCUGCGAGCUGCAUUAUUUUAGAGUUAUGGAAAAACAUUAGCUUAAUAUGCGACGUGCUCAACGGCGAGAGACUCCUCGCUCCUGUUAGCUCGCCGCUCGCAGUCCCAAGGUCGCCCGCCUGCGAGGGCCGCGUGAUGAGUUCAUGCUAGACGCGCGGCGUCUGUGACACGUUCUUAAGGAACGCCGUGCCCAUGAGCAGAACAUAAAGCGGUUAUAUUAUGCUAGUUCAUUGACAGCGGUUAGCGGGGGUGAACUUCCUCCGGUGUUGCGCCUGCAAUCUUAAUAUCAUAAUUAGCCCGUCUUUGCCACAUUGAGACUUGAAAACACAUAGUUCCGGCGGUUCAGCCAACCUCCUGUCCUUCAAACCUCAUCCCAGUGUCUCUGUUUUUAUCACAGCUACUCCAUUACGAGGAGCAAUUGUUUCUUUAGGGAGUGUGCUUCUGUGUCUUUUUGUGUGUUUCUGUUUGUGUGCAGUCAAGAAAAUAAAAACCGAACCAAACCGGA